UACAGAGGGUGCGAGCGUUGUCCGGAAUCACUGGGCGUAAAGGGCGCGUAGGCGGAUGGCUUUGUCGGGCGUGAAAUCCCAGGGCUCAACCUUGGGGCUGCGUUCGAGACGGGCGAUCUUGAGUUCGGAAGAGGGUCGUGGAAUUCCUGGUGUAGCGGUGAAAUGCGCAGAUAUCAGGAGGAACACCAAUGGCGAAGGCAGCUCGCUGGGACGUGACUGACGCUGAGACGCGAAAGCGUGGGGAGCAAACAGG
rnacentral:rRNA from 1 species